GCCGUUGUAGCUCAGUGGUAGAGUGUUUCCUUGGUAAGGAAAAGGUCGAGGGUUCAAUUCCCUCCAUCGGCUC
rnacentral:tRNA from 2 species